rnacentral:rRNA from 1 species
UACGGAGGAUGCGAGCGUUAUCCGGAUUUAUUGGGUUUAAAGGGUGCGUAGGCGGAUUUUUAAGUCAGCGGUAAAAUGUCCGGGCUCAACCCGGGCCGGCCGUUGAAACUGGAGGCCUUGAGUGCACACAGGGGUGCCGGAAUUCAUGGUGUAGCGGUGAAAUGCUUAGAUAUCAUGAAGAACUCCGAUCGCGAAGGCAGCAUGCCGGCUCCACACUGACGCUGAGGCACGAAAGCGUGGGUAUCGAACAGG